UUCCGGUUGAUCCUGCCGAAGGCUACUGCUAUUGGAGUUCGAUUAAGCCAUGCGAGUCUAAGGGACUUCGGUCCCUGGCAUAAUGCUCAGUAACAAGUGGAUAAUCUGCCCUUAGGUGAGGAAUAAACCCGGGAAACUGGGGCUAAUACCUCAUAGACACAAGAAGCUGGAAUGCUCCUGUGUUCAAAGCUCCGGCGCCUAAGGAUGAGUCUGCUUCCUAUCAGGUUGUAGUCAGGGUCAAGACCUGACUAGCCAACGACGGGUACGGGGUGUGAGAGCACUUGCCCGGAGAUGGUUUCUGAGACACGAAACCAGGCCCUACGGGGCGCAGCAGGCGAGAAAACUUUGCAAUGUGCGAAAGCACGACAAGGUUAAUCCGAGUGAUUUCUGCUAAAGAAAUCUUUUGCCAGUCAUAAAACCACUAGUGAAUAAGGGGUGGGCAAGUUCUGGUGUCAGCCGCCGCGGUAAAACCAGCACCUCAAGUGGUCAGGAGGAUUAUUGGGCCUAAAGCAUCCGUAGCCUGCUCUGUAAGUUUUCGGUUAAAUCUAUAUGCUCAACGUAUAGGCUGCCGAAAAUACUGCAGUGCUAGGAAGUGGGAGAGGUAGACGGUACUUGGUAGGAAGGGGUAAAAUCCUUUGAUCUAUCGAUGACCACCUGUGGCGAAGGCGGUCUACCAGAACACGUUCGACGGUGAGGGAUGAAAGCUGGGGGAGCAAACCGGAUUAGAUACCCGGGUAGUCCCAGCUGUAAACGAUGCAGACUCGAUGAUGCAUUGGCAUAUAGCCGGUGCAGUGUCGCAGGGAAGCCGUUAAGUCUGCCGCCUGGGAAGUACGUACGCAAGUAUGAAACUUAAAGGAAUUGGCGGGGGAGCACCACAAGGGGUGAAGCCUGCGGUUCAAUUGGAUUCAACGCCGGA
rnacentral:rRNA from 1 species